GUACACGCUGUGACUAGCAUAUCAAUAAGCGGAGGAAAAGAAACUAACAAGGAUUCCCCUAGUAACGGCGAGUGAAGCGGGAAGAGCUCAAAUUUGAAAUCUUAAAGGGUUUCCCUUUACGAAUUGUAGUUUAAAGAAGUGUUUUCUGUUGAGGUUUUGGUAAAAGUUCUUUGGAAUAGGACAUCAUAGAGGGUGAGAAUCCCGUAUUUGACCUUUACUUUCAACUUUGUGAUACACUUUCAAAGAGUCGGAUUGUUUGGGAAUGCAGUCCAAAAUGGGUGGUAAAUUUCAUCUAAAGCUAAAUAUUGGCGAGAGACCGAUAGCGAACAAGUACCGUGAGGGAAAGAUGAAAAGAACUUUGAAAAGAGAGUUAAACAGUACGUGAAAUUGUCAAAAGGGAAGCGUUUGACACCAGUGUUGUUUUUCUGAAAAUCAAUUAAAGAACUGUUUAUGCUAAGUUGUUUAGACUUUAUCAGCUAACUGUUUAGUUUUGAGCUUUUCUUUAAUGCACUUUUCAGUUAACAAGUCAACAUCAAUUUCUUUUGCUGUAAAAUAGCUUGAGGAAGGUGGCUUGAGAUUCGUCUUAAGUGUUUAUAGCCUCUUGCCUAUGCAGUCGGAGAGAUUGAGGUCUGCAGCGUAGAUCCUUCGGGGCUAAAUGCAUUUGUGCUAAGUUAUAGCAUUUCAUAGAGCAACUUGUUGACUAUGAUUUGUCUUGUAGCUUACUCGCUUAUGUUAUUUUACCUACGCUUAGGAUGUUGACAGCAGUAUAGACUGU
rnacentral:rRNA from 1 species